UACGUAGGUGGCAAGCGUUGUUCGGAAUUACUGGGCGUAAAGCGCACGUAGGCGGCUUUGUAAGUUAGAGGUGAAAGCCCGGGGCUCAACCCCGGAAUUGCCUUUAAGACUGCAUCGCUUGAAUCCAGGAGAGGUGAGUGGAAUUCCGAGUGUAGAGGUGAAAUUCGUAGAUAUUCGGAAGAACACCAGUGGCGAAGGCGGCUCACUGGACUGGUAUUGACGCUGAGGUGCGAAAGCGUGGGGAGCAAACAGG
rnacentral:rRNA from 1 species